GGGAGUUGAGGUCUGGUUCCUAUUUACCCAAGUUAGAGAUAGGGGCCUGCGGAAACAUGAAGAGGGUAAAUAGCUGUGUGAAGGAUGAAGAGCAUGUCCUGGAGGAACUGGAAACAGAAGGUGAGAGGCAGCUCAAGAGCCUCCUUCAACAUCAACUUGAUACCUCUGUCUCCAUUGAAGAAUGUGUCUCUAAAAAAAAGAGCUUUGCCCCUGGGACUAUGUACAAGCCCUUUGGGAAGGAAGUAGCCGGGACAAUGACUUUGUCCCAGUUCCAGACACUACAUGAAAAAGACCAGGAAACUGCUUCUCUCAGGGAACUAGGGCUCAAUGAAACAGAAAUAUUGAUCUGGAAAAGCCAUGUUUCAGGUGAAAAGAGGACAAAGCUGAGGGCAACUCCCGAAGCAAUACAGAAACGGCUUGAAGAUAUUAAAGAAAGGAUCUCGGAGCGCCAGCGCAUCCUCUGCCUGCCACAGAGGUUUUCAAAGAGCAAACAGCUGACCCGAAGAGAGAUGGAAAUUGAAAAGUCUUUAUUUCAGGGAACUGAUCGUCACUCCUUCCUUAAGGCUCUUUAUUACCAAGAUGAACCCCCAAAGAAGAACAAAGGUGAUCCCAUGAACAACCUGGAAAGUUUUUACCACGAGACUAUAAUGAAAAAACGUCUUGAAGAGUUCCAACUUUUGAGAGGUGAACCCUUUCCUUCCCACUCACUGGCCUCAGCUGCAUCAGUGAGUGAUAGUGGCACAGCUGAGAGCCCAUCACUCCUCCAGGACAAGGGAAAACAGGCAGCACAGGGUAAAGGCCCCAGUCUCCAUGUGGCAAAAGUUAUUGAUUUUCCACCUGAGCAAUGUUGGACUGGGCCUAAGAAGCUGAAGCAACCAAUAGAAUUUAUCCCAGAAGAUGAAAUCCAGAGAAAUCGUUUGUCAGAGGAGGAGAUCCGAAACAUUCCUAUGUUUUCUUCAUAUAAUCCAGGGGAACCAAACAAGGUAUAGGCCACAUUGAGGAAACGACCUGGGUUGUUUCCGCUUUCAUUUACCUCUACCUAACGCAGCAUUUUAAAAAUACUUUUGCUUACACCAAAGAUUCUGACACAGGUUCAGCAAGUGAUUUUGUCUGUCCUUGACCUUAACUGUCAUGUUCUGCAUACUAUUUAAGUAGUCUAUCUCCUAGCAUGUUCUGUGUGCCUUUUUUAGGUUCUAAAGUCCCCUUAGAACUUUGAAAAUAGCAUAAUGAGACUUACUCAUCUGCACUAGUAUCUCUGAAUUAGAUAGAGGAAACAUAACCACCCACUUUUUUAGUGAUUAAUCAUCCGGUUGUGGAUAGUGUUCACAGCACAAGUCCUUAAAGCAUUAAUUUUAGAAAACAGAAUGAAAAUAAUGAUAACAGCCCCUGAUUUAAAAACCAUGGAGAGAGGGCUGCUAAAGUACUUUGACUUUCUGAUAUGCUACUCCUGGUCCAAGAGCAGGUAGCUUGGCGUUCAUCUACUUUAGUCUGUGCUAUUACUGACUAGCUCAUGGAUAAAUUAGGAAAUAGCCAUAUUCUUAGCUAGGCAUGUUUACAAAGAUUUAAUAGCUUGUCAUAUUUGCUUAGUUUUAAAAAUUACUAGUGUAUUAUGGAUAUGCCUGAAGAAUUUCAUGCAUUCAUCAAUCCCAUUCUUCCUUCUAACUAGGUUUAUCCACUAUUUUGAAUUUGCUAGGUCUGUUCCUAUGGGUAUUUUUAUGUAUUUAUUAUCUAAAACUUUAUACAACUGUUCCAACUGAAUAACUAAAUUUACUUUGUUUUUCUUUAUGGUUUGAGAACAAUAUGCAUUUGGUAGAACCUCUACUCUGUAUUUUGAAUUUUUGUUUUUAUUUUUGUCAAGCUAGCAAUGUACAUUGUGCUGCUAUGGUACUUUAUUGAGAGUCUGAGCAGUGUAGUGACCUGCAGCUCAUAGUCAGCUACAUAUUGUGAGGGGAAAGUACUAAUACACUCCAUAGAUUAUGUAUAUUAAGUGUACUUCCAACUUAGGAUGUUUUCAAGUUAAAUAGGAUUUAUCAAGACCUGACUCCAUCUCUGUUUUUUUAAUAAAUUUAUUUAUUUAUUUAUUCAAUUUAUAUUCCAAUAUCAGCCCUCCUCCUCCCAAUACCCCCACAGCUCCUCCUCCCAUUCUCAUGCCCUUCUCCUCUGAGAAGGGGAAAGCCCUACCCUGGUACAUCAAGGACAUGACCCCACCUUAACUGCAGGUAUGUCUUAGCUAUUCAUAAAUAUUCGUAGAUAUUCAUAAAUAUCUGUUUUAUACAUUUUGAAACUAUAUAGAUAAUGUCAUACUUUACAUAUUUUUCUUACUGUUUUAGCUCAAUGUACCCAAUAUAUAGAAUUCCUUGUAUCAUUAGAAAUAAAAUGUUUAAAUAGAACAUAUUUCUAUAAUAGAAUACUAAUUCGCUUCUCUAUUUUCUUGAUUUGUUUCCUCUCAUUAUUUUACUACUACAGAUAAAGUUGUGACAUUGUUAUGCAUAUCUUUUUGUCACCACUGGAGACUAAACCUAGAACCUUGUGAAUACUAGGCAAACUUUACUGUUGAACUAUAUCCAUAGACUUCUUUGUCAUGUUUUAUGUUGAGACAGGAUUCCACUAAUUGUAGGAGCUAAUGCUAAACUCAUUCUGUAGCCAACUAAGCAAGAACUUGUAAUCUUCCUGCCUUGGCUUCAGAAAUAAUUGAUAUUCUAAGCAUAAAUCACUAGACCUGGCUUAUAUAAAUCUCUUUCUGCCCGUGUACCAAACAUUCCUCCUAGACAGUAUUUUUCAAACUUAAGUCACAAUUCAUAGUUCACACCAGUAUGGUUUUAUUUUUAAGGAAAUGGAUAGAAGAAUAGAAUAGAAUAGUGUAGAGUAGAAUAGCAGGUGAAAGUGUAUCCCACACAAUUAUUUCACACAGUUAAUCACUUUCUUAAAAUAAAUUUUGUGCAUGCAUAUAUGUUAGGAUGAAGUAGUAGUAUAUGUAGGCUACAGUUUUUAAUGCAGUUUUUCCGGUAGGUCUCAGACAAAAUAUUGGGAAAUAUAUCACUCUCUUGUGAUGUUUUCAUAUCUUAAUAUUCAUCAAAAUCAUGUGAAGACAUUAUUAAAACAUAGAUUGCUGGACUUCCCACAAGAUUUUUGACUUAGUAGAUCUGGAAAGUGUGAAUGUUUGCAUUCCAACAUGUUCCCAGGAAACGCUGACACUUGGUCCAAGAGUGGAAUUUUUAGACUUGACUUUCUAGGUUGCCUGUCUAGGAAUGAAAUUACCAUGGUAGAGGCUGUCCGUGUCUUCCUCCACCAGCAGCACUAGUACCAUUACUCUUCCCCUCCUCUUCGUCCUUUCUUUUUCUUUUCUUUCACUUUCUUUUCUUUUGAGACAAAGUUUCUCUGUGUCACCCUGACUGUUCUGUAGACUGGGCUAGCCUCAAACUCACAGAGAGCUACCUGCCUCUGCCUCCCUAGUGCUGGGAUAAAGGUAUGCACUGCUACUGCCUGGCUAACGAAUAUUUCAGUGAUUCCCCUCACAUCUUAACCAAGAUUUUAUAUUAGACUUUUAAUUUUACCUAAUAGUUUAGAAAGGUAAUUUAUUUUUAUUUUUGCAAAUUCCUCAUUUCCAGUAAAGAUAGACUAUGUAUUUUUACAUUUAUUGGCCCUUUUCCUACCCUCUGUGAGCUAGCUUUCUGUUUCUUUACCCAUCAUUUGAUAUUCCUGCCUUCUGUACUUAUUUAUAAGGAUUAUUUUUCAUUUUUUAAAGAUUUAUAUUUAUUUUUAAUUGUGUGUGUGUGAGCGAGAGGAAUGUGUAAAAGGGGGAAAGAGAGAAGGGGAAGGAGGGUGUAAGAACGAGAACAAAGAGUGAUUUGGACUAUUAAUUUCUGAGUGUCUUUUUAACUUAAUGGCAGACUUCUAGCCAUACAUCCAGGAAUCUAAGAGAACAUUAAGCAAGAUGAAUAUCAAAAAUUACACGUAAGCAUAAUAUAGUCAAACUGCAGAAAUACAAGACAAGGAAAAAGGGAAUACUUUAUAUAGGAUCAAAGAGAAUUGCAUCAGACUUACCAAAAGCAAGAAAAAAAUAUAAUGAAAUAUUCAUGUUUAGAGAGAAAAACUCCUACCCACAUAGAAGUUUAUGCAGAAAACUUACCCUUUCACACCAGUUGUAGCAAAGUAACUUUUCUCAGACAAACAAGAAUGUAAAGAAUUUGUCACAAAGUUAUACUCCAAAGUCUAAGAAAAUUAGACAGAUUAAUAAUUCAGAUCUAUGUAAAGGAAGAACACAGGAAAAAGAAUACACAAAGAUAAGAUAAAAUGAUUUUCUCAUUCUCUAAAACAGAAGCAGAAAGGACACAUUUUAUGAGACAAGACUUAGCUUAUUAUAGAAACCAGUUAAAAAUAUUACAAUAAAAGAAAAUUGCAACCUAUCUUAUGCAUAAAGCAAAAAUCCUAAACCAGAACAUUUUUAAUGUUAUAAUGAAAUUCAUUAUUAUUAUAUAAUUAAUAUAUGCUAAUGAAAGCAUUAAUGUGUUCUUUUUAGUGUUUUUUUCAAAAGAUUUAUUUAUUUCAUAUAUGUGAGUAUACUGUACCUGUCUUCAGACACACCAGAAGAGGGCAUCAGAUCCUAUGAGAUGGCAUUAGAUGGUUGUGAGCCACCAUGUGAUUGCUGGGAUUUGAAAUCCGGACCUCUGGAAGAGCAGUCAGUGCUCUUAACCACUGAGCCAUCUCUCCAGCCCUUUUUUUAGAAUUAUUUAUUUAUUUUAUGUAUAUAAGUACACUGUAGCUGUCCUUAGACAUACCAGAAGAGGGCAUCAGAUCCCUUUACAGAUGGUCGUGAGCCACCAUGUGGCUAGGAUUUGAACUCAGGACCUCUGGAAGAGCAGUCAAUAAUCUUAACCACUGAGUCAUCUCUCCAGCCCUAGUGUUUUUAUUUAACUCAAAAUAUUAGAAAAUAAAAUUCAAUAAUGUAUAGAAAUAAUUACGUAUCAUUAUCAACAGACAUCCAAAGCUGGUUCAACAUUUGGAAAUCAAAUAUAGUCUACCAUAUCAAAUAGACUAAAUAAGAAAAAUCAUGUGUUUCAUGUGAUAUAGAAAAGCAUUUGCAAAAUGCCUUAACAUUCAUUCAUGUUUUAAAACUUAGUGAACUCAACGCCCUGGGUUCGGUCCCCAGCUCCGAAAAAAAGAACCAAAAAAAAAAAAAAACAAAAAAAAAACUUAGUGAACUAUGAAAAGAGGAGAAUAUCCUUAAGUUAGUGAAGAAUAGCUACAAUGCCGUGCAUCAUGUCUGAUAGAUAGUAAAGUAGAUAUUUCCCCCUUUGGUUCAGAACAAAAUAAGAAUGUCCUCUUUACCCACUCCUUUUUGAGAGCAUGCUGGAAGUGUUGUCCAGUGUAUUAAGACAAGGAAAGGAAAUUGAAAGUUCAUGGAUUAGGAAGAGAAAAAACAAUAAUACUGUUCACAGGUAAUUUUGUCAAAAAUCCCAAAUAAUUAGCCAGAAAUCUAGCAAACUAGAACCAUUAAGUAAGAAUAGUUUGGAUCAUGUAAGCCUUCUCUAUAAAAAGUCAGGUUUCUACCUCUAUAUAGGAAAUAAAGAAUUAAAGUUUUUAGUUUAAAAUAUUUAGUAUUGCAAAAGAAAAAUAAAAUAUUUAGAUGUAAUUUUAUGAAAACAUAUGGGAUCUACAUGCUAGGAAACUGAAAAUAAUGAAAAAAAGAAAAAUGGUAAAUUCAGAAAUAAUUUGGAUGCAUAGAUUAAAAUUUGGAUAUUGUUAAAAUACCAUGCUUUUCCAAGUUGGUCUGUGGAGUCCACACAACCCCCCCCCCAAAUAUUGGCAAGCUAAUUGUAUAUUAAGAAACAGAUUCUAAGUUUAUAUGGAAAGAGAAAAGUUACAGAAUAUCCAACAAAUACUGAAGAACAACAUUACAACUGAUACUACCUACCUUCAAGACUUAACUAUAACCUAAUAUCUUAUGGCAUUGGUGGAGAAAAGCAAGUGGGUCAGUGGAGCAAAUCAGAAGCCUCAGAAUUAGGUCCAUACACAUAUACUCAAUUGAACUUUGACAAAGAUAAUUCAAUGCAGAAAUGAUAGUCUUUUCUACAAAUGGUUCAAGAACAACUGGAGAUCUACAUUCAAAACUCGGCACACACCUUUCCUCUAUUAUAAAAUCUCAUUGAAAGUGUGCCAGAGAGUCAUGGACAAAACAAUAACCCAAAACAUUUAGAAGAAAAUGGGGAAAGAAAUCUAAGUGGCCUUGUUUUUGAUGAUGUGCUUUUUACCCAAAGCACAAUUUAGAUAAAAAAAAUUGAUAAAUUAUAAUUUGUUCAAAUUACAAACUUUUCUGAGAGAUAUUUUAAACUAUACAAAAAGACAUACCAUAGAUUAGAAAAAUAUAUUUCAAAGCACACCAAAUGUAACAAAGCAUUGUACUUAGACUACGCAAAGAACUCCUAAAACUUGACAAUACUGAAAUGAACAGCUCAAUUUAAAAAGUGGUCAAGAGGUAAGACUAUAUGGCUCAUCAGAGAAGAAGCCUGUGAAUUCAAUCUUACCAUGUUACCAAGGUACUGUAACAUGAAAUGAUGAGAUACAAUUAAACUCCCAGUUAAAUAACUAAAACUCAUAAAACUGACAAUACCAAAAGCUUUUGAUGAUUUAGAGCAACAGGAAUAUGUAAUCAUUGCUGGAGGGAGUAUAAAAUAGGACAACCUCUUUAGAACCCAGUUUGAAUGACUCUUAAACAAAGCAUAACAUUGUUUUCCCGUAUGAUAUAGAAUUUACUGUUAUUUUUCAACUGUAUUAAAAACCUGCAUGCAAGCAUGCAUGCAUGCAUGCAUACAUACAUACAUACAUACACACACACAUACAUAUAUACAUAUAUACAUAUAUAGAUACGGAAUGUGGAUGUUCAUAAUGGCUUUAUUCAUAAUUGCCAAAGUAGAACUAAUCAAAGUGUCCUCCAAUUAGAUGAAUUGGGCAAAUGAAUGUAAUGAAAUAUAAUUUAACAACAAAAUGAUUUAAGGUAUCAAGCCAUAUAAAGACAUAUACAAACUUUAGAUGCAUAAUCGUAAACAAAAGAUGCUACUAUGAAAAUAAAACAUUCUAUUAUUUCAUUCUGCAAUAUUCUAAGAAACUCAGAAUGAUAGGUAUCAAAAUGAUAGUUGAUUAACAAAAGUAUAAGAGCAAAGAGAGAAUAAGUGAAGCAUAGGGCAUUUUUAGGAGAAUAAAAUUAUUCUGUGUGAUACUGAAAUACUGAAGGCUAGCUAUACGUUUGACAAAAUAUAUAUAACUACAUAGUAUAAAGAGAUUCUUAAUGUAUACAAAUAUUUAAAAAUAAUUUAAGAUGUCAGUGACUUUUAGGAAAGAAUAAAGAUUAUAAAAGGAGAAUCUUGUUGUGUUACAGUUAUAUAUGAUAAUCUCACUAAAGGAAUAGGAGAAACAGUACUGACCUAAGUGGCUUUGGAAAUGUGUAAUCUAUAAGACUAACAGCAAAUGGGAGGUGCAUAUAAGGGCCAUGCCCUGGUUGCUAAGGCCCUGUGUCCUGGUUAACAGUAUUGAUACUGCAUCAUUAAGUAAAUGUUGGAAUUUGUAGAUAAAUAAAACGGAGGAAAUUAAAAUGACCCAUGUGGUAGUAGCUUAACUGUGAAUUCAUAUUUAACUUAAUACAGACACAGAUAAUUCACAUGUAGAAGUAUUUAUCUGGGUUUAUACACAGUUUAAUAUGGACAUGUUUUUCCUCUUUGAGUUGAGCAAGCCCCAAUGAAACAAAUCCUGUCUUGCUCAGGAUGGAUUACUUCUAAUACCAUUCUCUACUAAAUGUAACAAUAGAGUUUUGGCAAAAUAAAUGGCUGCACCUAUUACUCAGGCAGGAAAUAUACAAGAUUAUUAGCCUUGUACAUCUUUCUCUAUGAAAAGUAAAAUAACAGCAUAAAACACAGGGACUGAAGGAGAAUUCCAGUAAUUGAAGCUAGAACUAUCUCUGCAAUAAACUAAACAAAUUAACUUUGAACAGUGAUUUAAAAUAUAGAAUAUCCGUCUGUGUGCAGGUGCUAAGAAUUAAAAAAUUGAGAAAGUAAAGAAGAAAUAAAUCUUAGAACAUAAUUCCUUGAUGCUUAGUUGUAAGCAGCUUGUGUUGAUUUGUUUCCCAAGAGUACAAUAUGGAAAGGAAGAUGUAACUUUAUUUUUUCAACAUCUAUUUUUAAUGAUGGUACUUAAAUGCUUUAACUUCCCUUUUAGCCCACCACCCACCAGAGGUAGUGGAAAAAGAAAGGAUAUAGGGGAAGUGGACCUGUUUAGAAAUGUUCUUUGGAGCAAAUCCUAUCUGUAUUGUCAGGAAAUUAGCAGUUCAGUUCACAGGAGUCAGCAGCUGCAGCUCCAACCAUUUACAAACACUUCAUGUUUAUAAUAGCAGUUUGGUAGAAUUAGGAUAGCAAAUAUGAAUCAGCAGCCUUGGCUCUACCUAGCAGAGAAAGCCGGGCCUCAACCUUGUUCAAGUCAGCAGGUGGGACCAGCAGGAAUGCCAGAAGUUCUCAGCUGUGCAUCUCUCAUUGAAGUGAAGAUCAGUGAAGACUAGGGACCAACAACCUUUGCACAGCUAGUUGUACCAGCAAGCCAAGCUCAGUCCCUGUCACUGUCCCAGAGUCCUAUUUAUAUCCUCCAAACAUCACAUGUCCUCAACGGAUCUUGCCUCAGCAUGUGCACCUGUCAUAGCUGACAUCACUCUGCCAAUCAUCCUGAGUCCACUGAAGUGGCAAGAAACUGCAGCAGACCACCAGAAGUUUUUUGGUGUGUUUCUUUCUAUCGAGUCCCAACAAAUAGAGCUCAACUACACAGUGUAAGGCAAACCAAUACAUGCCUGUUGUUAGCAAAGAAUCCUUUAUCACAUGUCCUUUCACAUGCUUGCUUUAUCAGAACAUCCUUCCUCCUGUGUCUGCUUCCACCAAAUGUUCCUUCAUGAGUCUGUCUUAGUCUUUCACCUGUGUUGACUUCAGGAAAACACUCCUUCAUGUGUUUGUCCCAGCAAAACAUUAUCCAACACAACUAAUUUUCCAAAGAACUCUUAACUUUUCACAUCAGGAAGACAAGCAAGUAAUGGAGAAAUCUGACCAACACUACCUCAGUCAGGUAAUAAAAGUCAAUAUCACCAGUCAUAAAUCAAUGAUGUUAGUAUUUCUGCUGAUACAGUGUGACCAAAACUGAACUCUUCUGGUAUAGUUUUCUUCUCAAUAAUUCAUUGUUGCAGUCUAACGUUAAAAAAAAUCAACAGAAAAAUUCUAGUAUUGAUGUAUCCUAUUAAAAUAUCUGACCAGCAUUCCUAAAGUUUUCAAGAUUGUGAAAAAUUAGAACAAUCUAAAAAAUUGUCAAAAGGAGCUUAAAGUUACAUGAUAACUGAAAGAAAUACAGUAGCCUAAAUGAUGUCUUAAGCAGAAAAAUAACAUUAGGUAGCAACUUAGAAAAUCUAAAUAAACAAUGGACUUCUGUUAAUAAUAAUGUAACAGUGAUUUAUUUAUUAAAACUAAUAUACUAAUAUAAGAUCAAAAAGUCAGAAACUAGAUAUGGAACAUAAAGACAUGUUAGUCUCCAAUUUUCUAUAAAUCUAAAAUUGUUCCAAAAGGUAAAGUCAAAUUUGCAAAGCUUUUUAAAGGGAUGGCUACAAAUGAAUUUUGGGCAUUGGGUGUACUCUUAAGUCUCACAUGCUUUUGUGUAGUUAAGUGUUAGAGCUAAACACUACUUGUUAGUAACUUUAAUAAUCUUUAAUGUAGUUUUUCAUCUAUUUCAGUGACUUUAUCAGUCUUUUCCUGUCAUCUUUUUUGUUCUAAUGGGAAUUCUUUUCUUUUUUGUAAAGUUACUUUUUAAUUUAAGCUAAAAAUAUUUAAUUAUUUUUUUUUGCUCUCCCAUUCUUUUUGUAUUAUGUUUAGAGUCCAUUGCCUUUUCCUUCCUAAGAAAAAUGUGCUAUAUCUGAAGAACCUUAGUCCUCGGGUGAAAGAAAGAGACCUUAUCUCAUUAUUCGCUCGAUUCCAGGAGAAAAAAGGACCACUCAUUCAGUUCCAAAUGAUGACUGGACGCAUGAGG